rnacentral:rRNA from 1 species
GACGAACGCUGGCGGCAGGCUUAACACAUGCAAGUCGAACGGGUGUAGCAAUACAUCAGUGGCAGACGGGUGAGUAACACGUGGGAACCUUCCUAGGGGUACGGAACAACUCAGGGAAACUUGAGCUAAUACCGUAUACGUCCGUGAGGAGAAAGAUUUAUCGCCCUUAGACGGGCCCGCGUCGGAUUAGGUAGUUGGUGGGGUAACGGCCUACCAAGCCUACGAUCCGUAGCUGAUCUGAGAGGAUGAUCAGCCACACUGGGACUGAGACACGGCCCAGACUCUUACGGGAGGCAGCAGUGGGGAAUCUUGGACAAUGGGCGAAAGCCUGAUCCAGCCAUGCCGCGUGAGUGAAGAAGGCCUUAGGGUUGUAAAGCUCUUUUGCCAGGGACGAUAAUGACGGUACCUGGAGAAUAAGCCCCGGCAAACUUCGUGCCAGCAGCCGCAGUAAGAC